GGUUCCUAGGAAGGCUCUCUCCUCCUCCCUGAGCCUUCCAAAUCUCGCGGCGACAUCUCUCCUCCUCCCUGAUGUCGCCGCACUUUUCU
rnacentral:ncRNA from 20 species